CCCAUCCUUGACCUGGAGGGAUGGGAGAGGUGCUGGAGGUUGAGAUCAAUAGCCAACGGGCAAUCAGUUAAUCACUAUGCCUGUGCAAUGAAGUCUGUAUAAAAACCCAAGAGAAGAGGGCUUCAGAAAGCUUCUGAGUUGGUGAAUGUGUGGAGAUUUGGGGAGAAUGGUGUGCCUGGAGAGGACAUGGAAGUGCCACGCCUUCUCCCAUACCUUUCCUCGUAUAUCUCUUCUAUCUAGCUGUUCCUGAAGAGGAGGAAAAACACAGAGAAAUUGAGUAAUUUACCUGAAGUUCAGCUGCUGUAGUGGUGAAACCAGGAUUUCAACCCAGAGUUGAUCUGAAUGCUGCUUCUUUCUGACUUACCCUGAAUCUCUAUUUUGGAAUCUCCUGGGAGAAGACAAAAAUUCAGGACAACAUGUUAUCAGGAAAAAAAGCAAACAUAAAUAAAUAAA